rnacentral:rRNA from 1 species
GACGAACGCUGGCGGCGUGCUUAACACAUGCAAGUCGAACGAUGAAGCCCAGCUUGCUGGGUGGCAGAGUGGCGAACGGGUGAGUAACACGUGAGUAACCUGCCCUGAACUCUGGGAUAAGCACUGGAAACGGUGUCUAAUACUGGAUACGACCUAUCACCGCAUGGUGUGUGGGUGGAAAGAUUUAUCGGUUCUGGAUGGACUCGCGGCCUAUCAGCUAGAUGGUGAGGUAAUGGCUCACCAUGGCGACGACGGGUAGCCGGCCUGAGAGGGUGACCGGCCACACUGGGACUGAGACACGGCCCAGACUCCUACGGGAGGCAGCAGUGGGGAAUAUUGCACAAUGGGCGCAAGCCUGAUGCAGCAACGCCGCGUGAGGGAUGACGGCCUUCGGGUUGUAAACCUCUUUUAGUAGGGAAGAAGCGAAAGUGACGGUACCUGCAGAAAAAGCACCGGCUAACUACGUG